GAUGAACGCUGGCGGCGUGCCUAACACAUGCAAGUCGAACGGAGUCGGGUUGGAAAUCUCUUCGGAGAUGGAAUGCUCGACUUAGUGGCGGACGGGUGAGUAACGCGUGAGCAAUCUGCCUUUAAGAGGGGGAUAACAGUCGGAAACGGCUGCUAAUACCGCAUAAAGCAUUAAAUUCGCAUGUUUUUGAUGCCAAAGGAGCAAUCCGCUUUUAGAUGAGCUCGCGUCUGAUUAGCUAGUUGGCGGGGUAACGGCCCACCAAGGCGACGAUCAGUAGCCGGACUGAGCGGUUGAACGGCCACAUUGGGACUGAGACACGGCCCAGACUCCUACGGGAGGCAGCAGUGGGGAAUAUUGCGCAAUGGGGGAAACCCUGACGCAGCAACGCCGCGUGAUUGAAGAAGGCCUUCGGGUUGUAAAGAUCUUUAAUCAGGGACGAAACAAAUGACGGUACCUGAAGAAUAAGCUCCGGCUAACUACGUG
rnacentral:rRNA from 1 species